rnacentral:rRNA from 1 species
GACGAACGCUGGCGGCGUGCUUAACACAUGCAAGUCGAACGGAAAGGCCCCUUUGGGGGUCCUCGAGUGGCGAACGGGUGAGUAACACGUGAGUAACCUGCCCUUGACUUCGGGAUAACUUCAGGAAACUGGGGCUAAUACCGGAUAGGAAUCCUUGCUGCAUGGUGGGGGUUGGAAAGCUUCGGCGGUUUUGGAUGGACUCGCGGCUUAUCAGCUUGUUGGUGGGGUAGUGGGUUACCAAGGCUUUGACGGGUAGCCGGCCUGAGAGGGCGACCGGCCACAGUGGGACUGAGAGACGGCCCAGACUCCGACGGGAGGCAGCAGUGGGGAAUAUUGCACAAUGGGCGGAAGCCUGAUGCAGCAACGCCGCGGGCGGGAUGACGGCCUUCGGGUUGUAAACCGCUUUCAGCAGGGGCGAAGCUUGUGGUGACGGUACCUGCAGAAGAAGCACCGGCUAACUACGUG